rnacentral:rRNA from 1 species
UACAGAGGAUGCAAGCGUUGUUCGGAAUUAUUGGGCGUAAAGGGUGCGUAGGCGGUUUGGUAAGUCUGAUGUGAAAUCUAUGGGCUCAACUCAUAGUCUGCAUCGGAAACUGCCGGGCUUGAGUGUGGGAGAGGUGAGUGGAAUUCCUGGUGUAGCGGUGAAAUGCGUAGAUAUCAGGAGGAACACCUGUGGCGAAAGCGGCUCACUGGACCAUAACUGACGCUGAUGCACGAAAGCUAGGGGAGCAAACAGG